rnacentral:rRNA from 1 species
AGAGUUUGAUCCUGGCUCAGAGCGAACGCUGGCGGCAGGCCUAACACAUGCAAGUCGAGCGCCGUAUCAAUACGGAGCGGCAGACGGGAGAGUAACACGUGGGAACGUGCCCUUCAGUUCGGAACAACCCAGGGAAACUUGGGCUAAUACCGGAUACGCCCUUACGGGGAAAGAUUUAUCGCUGAAGGAGCGGCCCGCGUCUGAUUAGCUAGUUGGUGAGGUAAUGGCUCACCAAGGCUACGAUCAGUAGCUGGUCUGAGAGGAUGAUCAGCCUCACUGGGACUGAGACACGGCCCAGACUCCUACGGGAGGCAGCAGUGGGGAAUAUUGGACAAUGGGCGCAUGCCUGAUCCAGCCACGCCGCGUGGAUGAUGAAGGCCUUAGGGUUGUAAAGUCCUUUCGACGGGGAAGAUAAUAACGGUACCCGUAGAAGAAGCCCCGGCUAACUUCGUGCCAGCAGCCGCGGUAAUACGAAGGGGGCUAGCGUUGCUCGGAAUCACUGGGCGUAAAGCGCACGUAGGCGGCUUGUUAAGUCAGGGGUGAAAUCCUGGAGCUCAACUCCAGAACUGCCUUUGAUACUGGCGAGCUUGAGUCCGGGAGAGGUGAGUGGAACUGCGAGUGUAGAGGUGAAAUUUCGUAGAUAUCCGCAAGAACACCAGUGGCGAAGGCGGCUCACUGGCCCGGUACUGACGCUGAGGUGCGAAAGCGUGCGGAGCAAACAGGAUUAGAUACACUGCUAGUCC